rnacentral:lncRNA from 13 species
UAGCAAAUAGACUACCAUGUAGUAAAGUAUCAACAAGAAAGUAUGAGUGGCCCAAACCCUGCCUCUUCUAAAGAAAGCUUUGGCACUUACCUGGAUCGUGGGAAAUAAUUUCUAAGCCCCUGGAACAUUUUGCCUGUUAAGAAUGUGUGUCUUUGCCAGACACCUUUGGCCCAUCAGAGAGUCUGUAGUAGCAAUGUAAUUUAUGGUGGGAAUUUUGAGCAGCACGACAUCAGCUUGACCUCUGGAGGGGAUGGAGAAAAGGUCAUCCACCUGGGUAAUCUGCCAUGUCUACGUUGUUAAACCCCCAAUAAAAACUCUGGACACGCAGACUCUGGUGAGACUCUCUGGUUGACAAUACUUAGCACGUGUUGUCACACAUCAUUGGUGGGAGAACUAAGUACUGUCUACAUGACUCAACUGGGAAAGGGCAGCUGAAAACUUAUGCCUGGACUCUCCUGGCCUCUGACCAAUAGAAAUAGCUUAUGUGCUUUUUCCAUUGCUGAUUUUAAUCUCUGUCCUUUCGCUGUAAUUAACUGUGAGCAUAACAGUCUUUUAAAGUUCAGUGAGUCCUUUUACUGAAUCAUUAAACCAAAGUGUGAUCUUGAGGACCAAACAAAACUACAAAGUCUUAAUGGCAUGACACAAUAAAGGUUUACUUGCUGUUUAUGUGAAGUCUUCUGCAGGACUGGGUGCCCUAAUGGCCAACCGUUCUCUAAGCAGUUAGAGAACCAGGCUCUGCCAUCUCAGAGUCCACUGUUUCUAGUCACACAGACGGCAGAAUGAGAGCAAGGAAGAACAUGCAGGAUGUUUUAGAGGCCAGGCUUGUAAGUUUAAGUGUCACUUCUGUUCAGAUUCUAUUGGCCAGAACCCAGUCAUAUGGUGCCAGCCUAAAACAAGGAUGGUUGAAGAAGAGGGGUCUUCUUGUGUCACCAAGAAGAGGAAAUAAAAAUGAUCUACUUCUUUAUUAUCUUUUUGGAGAACAGGAAUCUUUGUCUGGAAAUUCCACAAGUUUGCCUUCUGCAAGAUUAAAAGUGCCACAAAGAACAAAAAUGAGCCUAGGACCAGGUGCACACUAGAAGCCAUUAGACAUGUUAAAGUUUCAUCUCCAUUGACCUGCAAGCCACUGGUCUAGACAAGAAGCAACUCUGCACUGCUUUUCAAACAUCAUUCUUUCUCUCAACUGCAAGGACUAUUCGGUUUCUAUUAUGCUUCUGGCCUUUCAUAUUCCUGAUGGUGCAUCGGAUAAAACCCAGCAGCCAGGCAUGUGAAUGUGGUUAAAAAGACCCACGGAGGACCAGCAACGCUUCCCCACAGCGUGGGAUGGUACCCUCCUGAGAUGGCCCACUGUCAGCCGGACUGGUACAUGAGUUGUUUUCCCAGCUGAGAGGAUGGGUCAUAUGACCCGUUUAUACUUUUUGUCCUGGUCUCUUUUUAACUAACUACACAAUUGUCCAGUCCCUGGCCAGGGUCCAUGACCGAGGACAGAGUUUCCCUGUGUAGAUUUUUUUCUGCAGCAGACAUUUGCACUGAGCUGUAAGAAUAGACCAAGCAUGGCCACCAUUUUUCCAACUACAGUGGGAUUAUCCGGGCAAAAACUUCAGAAAACAUGUGUGGGAUUCUAGAGUAGGCUGAGCAGGCUCAUGACACAUUCCCUGCUCUUACCAGACGCCAAGCACUACAUCCUGUCUGCUUCUUGAACAGCCCCUGCAUUGUUUGCUCAGCUAUUCUGCUGCAUCUGCAGAUAGCCCCGCCUGAGAAACAGCCUCAGACCAGAAGGAGAGGAUGGCGGCAAGCCUUAGAGAAAUAUGUAAGUCCAGGCGGGUGGUAGAUGACUGUGAGGCAUUUUCUUUUGCAAAAGAACAAAACAACAAACAAACAAACAAACAAACAAAAAUUCUACCAAGUAAAAAUGAUGAUAAUUCACUACUAGGUUAAAAAUUCACUUAUUGCAAGUUCAAAGCGCUAUAAACAAGCCCCAUGUUUCAGUCCUUUUGGCUAUAGUCAAUAUAGUUUAAAUGAGUCUGCUGAGACAAAUGCUGAUUUGGUGAAGAAACAAGAUCAAUUGAGUUUUAGAAGCGGCGAUAUUCAGCCACAUAAAACAUGGAAAAUAUGGAAGAUUGAAUCUGACAUGUAUCAUCAUCAUGGUCAAGACUGGAGAGAUGCUAUCUCAAGGUCUUUCCAGCUCUUUGAUCUAUGCAAAAGUGUAUAUGAUUUUUAGGUGGAGUGGUUGAAGAGAUGUUAGUCAAAGGGUACAGUGUCUGUUAGGAGGAGAUCUAUUGUGCAAUACGAUGACUAUAGUUUAUAACAAUACAUUGUAUUCUUGAAAAAUGCUGAGUAGGUUUUAAAUGCUUUCACCACAAAAAAAUGAUAACUUUGUGAGGUAAUUCAUGUGUUAAUUAGCUAGAUUUAGCUGUCUCACCAUGAAUACAUAAUUCAAAACAUCAUGUGGUACACAACAAAUACAUACAAUUUUAUAUCAACUUAAAAAAUAAAAAAGAAUGUAAUAUAAAUAUUUAAGUAAAU